GACGAACGCUGGCGGCGUGCUUAACACAUGCAAGUCGAACGAUGAAGCCCAGCUUGCUGGGUGGAUCAGUGGCGAACGGGUGAGUAACACGUGGGCAACCUGCCCCAAACUCUGGGAUAACUCCUCGAAAGAGGUGCUAAUACCGGAUACGAACUAGACAGACAUCUGUACUAGUUGGAAAGUUUUUCGGUUCGGGAUGGGCCCGCGGCCUAUCAGCUUGUUGGUGAGGUAACGGCUCACCAAGGCUACGACGGGUAACCGGCCUGAGAGGGCGACCGGUCACACUGGGACUGAGACACGGCCCAGACUCCUACGGGAGGCAGCAGUGGGGAAUAUUGCGCAAUGGGCGAAAGCCUGACGCAGCGACGCCGCGUGAGGGAUGAAGGUCUUCGGAUCGUAAACCUCUUUCAGUAGGGACGAAGCGAAAGUGACGGUACCUAAAGAAGAAGCACCGGCUAACUACGUGCCAGCCGCCGCGGUAA
rnacentral:rRNA from 1 species